GCCAGACUCCUACGGGAGGCAGCAGUGGGGAAUAUUGGGCAAUGGGCGCAAGCCUGACCCAGCAACGCCGCGUGAAGGAAGAAGGCUUUCGGGUUGUAAACUUCUUUUAAGAGGGAAGAGCAGAAGACGGUACCUCUUGAAUAAGCCACGGCUAACUACGUGCCAGCAGCCGCGGUAAUACGUAGGUGGCAAGCGUUGUCCGGAUUUACUGGGUGUAAAGGGCGUGCAGCCGGGAAGACAAGUCAGAUGUGAAAUCCCGUGGCUCAACCGCGGAACUGCAUUUGAAACUGUUUUUCUUGAGUACCGGAGAGGUCAUCGGAAUUCCUUGUGUAGCGGUGAAAUGCGUAGAUAUAAGGAAGAACACCAGUGGCGAAGGCGGAUGACUGGACGGCAACUGACGGUGAGGCGCGAAAGCGUGGGGAGCAAACAGGAUUAGAUACCCUAGUA
rnacentral:rRNA from 1 species